rnacentral:lncRNA from 1 species
CUCCGGUGUCUAGUAGUGACAUCGUCUGCAGACGUGUGGUGUUAGCGUGUCAUGGAGCCACAUCGUUGUAUUGGACGAUUAGGCAGUAGAACGAGAAGACGAUAAAGACGAACAUUGAUCUGCUCAACUAAUCGAUCAAGCGAGAAUAUGAAGCAACACCAGCAAUAGGUGGAUAUGGAUGACGUGCUGAUUAAUGAAUUUUUUUAGAUUAAUUGAUGGAUUUCUAUAGUAUCUGUAUAAGCCUCCAA